rnacentral:rRNA from 1 species
UCCAGACUCCUACGGGAGGCAGCAGUGAGGAAUAUUGGUCAAUGGGCGCUAGCCUGAACCAGCCAAGUAGCGUGAAGGAUGACUGCCCUAUGGGUUGUAAACUUCUUUUAUAUGGGAAUAAAGUGCAGUAUGUAUACUGCUUUGCAUGUACCUUAUGAAUAAGGAUCGGCUAACUCCGUGCCAGCAGCCGCGGUAAUACGGAGGAUGCGAGCGUUAUCCGGAUUUAUUGGGUUUAAAGGGUGCGUAGGCGGGCUGUUAAGUCAGCGGUCAAAUGUCGGGGCUCAACCCCGGCCUGCCGUUGAAACUGGCGGCCUCGAGUGGGCGAGAAGUAUGCGGAAUGCGUGGUGUAGCGGUGAAAUGCAUAGAUAUCACGCAGAACGCCGAUUGCGAAGGCAGCUUACCGGCGCUCAACUGACGCUGAGGCACGAAAGUGCGGGUAUCGAACAGGAUUAGAUACCCCUGUA